GAUGAACGCUAGCGACAGGCUUAACACAUGCAAGUCGAGGGGCAGCACGGUGUAGCAAUACACUGGUGGCGACCGGCGCACGGGUGAGUAACACGUGUGCAACCAACCCCGUACCGGGGGGAUAACCGGCGGAAACGGCGACUAAUACCCCCAUACGAUGUGAUGCUGCAUGGCAUUGCAUUGAAAGAUUCAUCGGUGGCGGAUAGGCUCGCGGGACAUUAGCUAGACGGCGGGGCAACGGCCCACCGUGGCGACGAUGUCUAGGGGUUCUGAGAGGAAGGCCCCCCACACUGGGACUGAGACACGGCCCAGACUCCUACGGGAGGCAGCAGUGGGGAAUAUUGGGCAAUGGGCGAAAGCCUGACCCAGCAACGCCGCGUGAAGGAAGAAGGCCUUCGGGUUGUAAACUUCUUUUAAGAGGGACGAAGAAGUGACGGUACCUCUUGAAUAAGCCACGGCUAACUACGUG
rnacentral:rRNA from 1 species